UAAUAAGUGUUUUAUGGCACUUUUUAAAUCCAUAUCCACCUUGUGUGCAAUGUCGGUCGAUCUUCUUCUUGAGGAUCGACCAAACAUCAACCUUUAUCUUUUAACUCUUUGUCUGAAAAAUAUUAUGAAUAAACAAUUCAAAAUA
rnacentral:misc_RNA from 1 species